UGUAACAUUAUGGAGACAGAGGUUAGUGCCCUGCGCCUGACUGACCUGCCCAGUCCUCCCCGCCGAAGGUGGGGGGCCAGCAGUGUUGCUGAGGAGGAUUUAGUGUAAAUCCUGGGGCUGCUCUUGGGUCUUGGGCAUUUCAAAAGCUAAGCCCCACAUGCUGGUGUGACGGGGGGCCCCAGGCAGGCCGGCAGUCAGCGUGGAGGGAACACCAGCCUGGGUCCCUACUGAGUCCUCCUCCUUUCCCCCUCCGCGUUCUCUUUCUUCUCGCAUUCUCUGUCCUUCUUGCUCUCCCUCCCUUUCCUCCUCCCCACCUCUCCUUCUCCAGGGCUUCCAGCGGGAAGCAAAGCCUGGCGUGGGGUCUGGGGACUCUGACAUUGGCCUGCAGCCCAGUAUACAGCGCAAGCUCUUGAACUAACAGUAGUCCUGCCCAGUGUUCCUCCUGGCAGCACGCACGGUGCCAGGGGCCCUCUACACUCGCCCUCGCAGUGCUCCUCACGGCGGUGGAAAGAAGGUAUUACUGGACCCGAGUACAGAGUGCGGGCAGGCCGUGGAAAGCCAGGCCACUCGGGACUGCCGAAGGGGUGGAAGCCAAAAUCCUGUGGCAGGUGGGGCUGCCUCCCUGGUGAUGAGGAAAGAUUCCCUCUGGCAGUGGCCCCAACCUGCCAACACCUGACUUCAAACGACAUCAGGAGAGAAGUGCUGGACACCUGCCCCAAGGGACACAGCUAGGGGAGCAGGCUGUGAGCAUCCUGUGUGGAAACCACAGAGACGACUUCCCGAGCGAGCUUAUGAAUCUCUGAUCUGAGAUUCAGGUCACAACCGGAGCACCUGGCCCUCUGAAGGACCUUGGGCAAGGAGCAAGAAGGGCAGGUGAGUGUGUCUGUUGGUCCUGAUAGUCCAGGCCACACCCCCCGUCUCCCCUGACAACCCCACAUUUCAACUCCCAUUUCCACAGGCACAGGGCUCAGCUGUGUGCGGUGGGAAAAGAUUGACAGACUGACAGUACAGGAGACAAAAGGGGAGUUCAAAUCAUUGCUCGCUGUGUGAACCUGUGCUUUAUUUUCUCCAUCUACAAAGGGAGAUAACAACUGGGGCUACCACAAUAGUUUCUGUAAGAAUUAAAAGAGCAUAUGCAAAGGGCUUAGCAUGGGCCUUCCACAUGGUAAUUGCCCAAUAAAUAUGAGUAUUGUCAUCAUAAUUAUCGUUCUCCUCCUCCUCAUCAUUGUCACCAUCAUUACCGCUGUCAUGCUGCCAUGUUUCUGUUCUUUCUGAGUUUGGAAGAAGAGAAAGCCCAGUAUUCAGAGCACUUGGAAGGCAUCCCUUGCUUAGCACCUCCCUCCUGCCCACCAUGGUGUGACCUCCAGGGAAGCAGGACCUCAGGGCUCUGGAUACCCAGGCAAAGUCCUGUCCGUCCCAGGGCUACACACGACCCCAGAAGCGCUCAGUCCCAGAAGGUGUGAGAAUUACACUCGGGCCUCAAUCAACCAGCCUUUGAUUCAAGUUCCCAAAAUAGGGGACAUCCUUUUAAAUGCCAGACUAAGUAACAUGUAGCUGUAAUGUUUUAAGCCUUCCUUUUCUUAAUAGAAGACCGAAUAGAGUGGGACUCUCAGAUCUGCUCCUAAGGCAGGCCUGCGCAGGCAAUACUCUAAAUCAGGCCUGCCCCUGGUGACUAAAGGAUUAGAGGCAGGACACCUCGGGGAAGC